rnacentral:lncRNA from 1 species
CAGGCUGCUUGCCCAUGACAAGACCUACUCAGCACUUCAGAACAACCAGGUCCAGACUUCAACUGCAAGCGUGGAUCCAAAAGAGGAGAAGCUGAGACUAGCAAAGAGGCAACACAGGUUCAAAAAGCAGAUGUUUUUGGACCACAGUGCUGUUCUCAACCCAAACACUUUGGCUCCAUUUGUUUCAGUGGAGGAUGCUUUGAGACAUUUGCUGCCGUACCAUUCUUGUGCUAGAGCUCUACCCAGC